GGAGGGUUGAUAUGUGCACUUUGGGCUUGUGCUGCUGCACUUCCAGUAGGCAGCUGGGAUAGUUGGUUGGACUGUUUGUGCACACAGAGAUCUGCAUUGCUUUGUCUUUGCUGGCAAGUGGGUGCUAAAUGAAAAGUUGUCCUGGACAUGCUUACUCAUAUUUGAGGAACAUCUUAUUUGCAAUGUAGAUACCUCCCACUACCUGGAACAAUUUGCUCUCCUUUCACAUUGCUUAUCUCCAGGAACAUGCUGGUACUGAAUGACUUCUGCUUGGAGGGUGUAUCUCCUGUGAUUGGUAUAACUUGCUAAGUAAGUAAUGCAUAGUAGCCAUUAAGGCUCAUUUUAGAAUCCCAGUGGAACAGUAUUUUUUCUUUAUGGCUUACAUUUAGUCAGUGACAGCUUCAUACAUGGAAGAACUUCUUCCCCUUCAACUUUGACUUGUCCUAGUGUGUUUGCAGAUCCACUGUGAGGUGCUGGUGUGGAUUGUUGAGAAGUCCAUGAGCGCUGUGAAAAAGUACAUGUCAAAACAAACAUGUUGCUCUUUUACUCUGAGACAGUCAAUUUCUUUCUAUUUUAUAGUGGAAGAACCAGUGGGCUCUUUGUGAGGGAGUAAAUCCAGAGACUAGCUUUUCGUCUGCUAUCUGGAAGAACAUGCACUGUGCUUUGAACAUUCACCUGCUGCUUGUGUUUCACCUCAUUAUGCCUGGUCCCGUGUGUUUUUGCUACGCAUCUUGGUCCACGCUCUUCUCAUGGGUUAGCAGCUGUCUGCAAAGAGCAGGCUGGGAAGAACCAUCCAAGGAGCUAUCUGACAAGGGGAUGUAACUAUGUCUGAGAAGAGCAAAAACUAGUGAUCUCUGUGUACUAACACUUUUGCUUGAUGUUUAUUUCUAGCAAGAGCACAGUCAGAGCUUUCCCAAGGACUCCUUUGGUGCUGUGUGAAAAGUCUUCCAGGUUGUUGGCAGAAGUGCAUUUCUCUUCAUCAAAGAUACUUUGCUCAGUGUUUGUGACUGCCAGCGAAGUCUGUUCUUUAGCUGUGUACUGGAGAGGGAAGUUCUGGUAGCCUGGCUCAGCUAGCAGGCUUUCAUUUCAAGGACCAGUGCAGGCAGUCUGAUUCCUUGUGUUUGAACAUGAUGUAUGCAGGAUGUGGAUCGAAAAACAUUGAGAACUACAAGUGAAUCAUAAGAUCCUUUUGUCUGUUGAGCUUUCUGCACAAGGGAGUCGCUUUCUUAGAAAAUAGAUAGCUAUGCAGAAGGGCAAGGAAAAAUGGAGCACUUGAACCUGCUGAUGGCCUAUGUGAGAAACACAUCAAAAGCUACCACUGUGAUCCCUCUAAAUAAUAAAUAAAAAGUUGAA